rnacentral:rRNA from 1 species
GGUGAGGUAACGGCCCACCAAGGCAAUGAUGGGUAGCCGGCCUGAGAGGGUGAACGGCCACAAGGGGACUGAGACACGGCCCUUACUCCUACGGGAGGCAGCAGUGGGGACUAUUGGACAAUGGACCACAAGUCUGAUCCAGCAAUUCUGUGUGCACGAUGACGUUUUUCGGAAUGUAAAGUGCUUUCAGUCGGGAAGAAGUCAGUGACGGUACCGACAGAAGAAGCGACGGCUAAAU